rnacentral:rRNA from 1 species
CUCCUAUUUUUAUUGUACUGAAGGCAAGUUAUUUUCAUGUCCUACUCAUCUAUAUCGCAACCUACUUUUAUACAUAUUUUUUUUUAUAAAAAAGUAUGUGUAAAAGAAAAAGCAAUUUAAUACAAUCUGUCUCAGGCGUUGUAAUUUUUUUAUGACGUUUAAAUAGUAUUGACACUAAUGUCGCGAAGGAAAAACGUAAAAUUGUAAUAUAUUUUAUAUUUUUUAAAUAGGCUUUUCUUAUUAUAAGAAAAGCUUGUUUAUACAUAUAGGUUUUAUAUACUUUUUCGUGAAGAGAAGUAUAUAUAUAUAUGUCUAUAUGUCCUGUACUAUGUAUCACUGAGUAUAACAGUUGUAUUUAAAAAAUUGGGUUAUAUGUGUAUAAAGCAUAUAAUUAAAAUAUUAAGAGUUAUGAAGAAUGCAUACAAUAAUAUAUAUAUAUAUAUAUAUAUAUUAUUGCUUCAUAAUAUCUGAACAACUUUUGUUAGGAAGUGUACAUAUAGAUCUAGCUAGUUGUACCUCACGUUCUCGCUCAGAGGAUUAUUUGAAAGACAGAUAGGCCUUAUACAAUAAUGUCAUAUUUAUUUAUGGCAUUAGCUUUUUAGCACGUAUAAGCUCUUACAUAGGAUAUUUCGGUAUGGACGAUCUUUGACAACUUGUCGUUUUUGUUUGGUGAACCCACACACUCGCGUCAGUUCUUGGUGACCCUGUAUCGAUCUUGUCACUAUGAAUAGAUACAUUGCCUUUUUGUGGCUAUAUAUAUAUAUAUAUAUAUAUAUUGUAUAUAUAUAUAUGUAUGUAUGUAUGUCAACAUAAGAUGUAUCUAUUGAGAGGGACUUUUAGAAAAUAUACAGCCAGAGGAUAAAAA